UACGUAGGGGGCGAGCGUUGUCCGGAUUCAUUGGGCGUAAAGAGCUCGUAGGCGGCUUGUCGCGUCGACUGUGAAAUCCCGCGGCUCAACUGCGGGUCUGCAGUCGAUACGGGCAGGCUAGAGUUCGGUAGGGGAGACUGGAAUUCCUGGUGUAGCGGUGAAAUGCGCAGAUAUCAGGAGGAACACCGGUGGCGAAGGCGGGUCUCUGGGCCGAUACUGACGCUGAGACGCGAAAGCGUGGGGAGCGAACAGG
rnacentral:rRNA from 1 species